rnacentral:miRNA from 1 species
GAGCUGAGAUGAGCUGGGCUGAGCUGAGCUGAGUUGAGCUGAAGUGAGAUGAGUUGAGCUGAGGUGAGCUGAGGUGAG